rnacentral:rRNA from 1 species
UACGGAGGGGGCUAGCGUUGUUCGGAAUUACUGGGCGUAAAGGGCACGUAGGCGGCUUUGUAAGUUAGAGGUGAAAGCCCGGGGCUCAACUCCGGAAUUGCCUUUAAGACUGCAUCGCUAGAAUUGUGGAGAGGUAAGUGGAAUUCCGAGUGUAGAGGUGAAAUUCGUAGAUAUUCGGAAGAACACCAGUGGCGAAGGCGACUUACUGGACACAUAUUGACGCUGAGGUGCGAAAGCGUGGGGAGCAAACAGG